AUUCAGGCCUAAAUUAUCCUCAGCACAAGAUCUCUUUUGAUCUUGGAAGCUAAGUGGGGUCAGCCCUGGUUAGUACUUGGAUGGGAUACCACCAAGGAAUACCAGGGAGGAAGGAGUU
rnacentral:rRNA from 1 species